rnacentral:rRNA from 1 species
UCCUACGGGAGGCAGCAGUGAGGAAUAUUGGUCAAUGGGCGCAAGCCUGAACCAGCCAUCCCGCGUGCAGGAAGACGGCCCUAUGGGUUGUAAACUGCUUUUCCAGGGAGAGAAACUUGCGCACGUGUUGCGCAAUUGACGGUACCCUGGGAAUAAGCAUCGGCUAACUCCGUGCCAGCAGCCGCGGUAAUA